CGGCUAUCGGUUGUGGAGUUCAGUUCUGUCCAGUACUGGCGAGCACAUCAAUGAAGAACAGCUACUUUGUCGUCUGCCAGUAUGGACCAGGAGGUAACAUUGCUGGCAAAAGACCAUAUACAAAAGCUUCGUCGUCUGGACUUUUCCCGCCAAAUCUUUCUCUGACCUAUACCAGUCUUGCACUUGUAUGCUUCUUAUAUGUCAAAAGC
rnacentral:sRNA from 1 species